rnacentral:SRP_RNA from 1 species
AGUUCUGGGCUGCAGUGCACUACGUCGAGCGGGUGUCUGUGCUGAGGGCGGCAUCAAUAUGGUGAGCCCCGAGGAGCUGGGGGACACCAGGUUGACUAAGGAGGGGUGAACUGGCCAGGGUUGGAGAUGGAGCAGGUCAAAGCUCCUGUGCUGGUCAGUAGUGGGAUCGCGCCUGUGAGCAGCCACUGCAAAACAG